rnacentral:lncRNA from 1 species
CAAGGAUGUUAGUUGGGCCAAUGUGCUAGCAGCUGGGGUCACUAUGCCUCUUUAAAAGGCCCCAUGAACUAGGCCCUGGCCCUUUGCAGGCCUAGCCAGAGCAGUGCAGAGCUGGGGGAGGAGUCCAGAAAGGAAAGGCCCAGGGACCGCUCUCCUAAAGCGGAUGUUUCUCCAUGUGUGUCCCUCUCCCCACUUGCUGUGAGAAGCCCUGGACAGCUCUUUCUUGCACCUUCUUCUCCACCCGCCCGAAGCCUGCUCCAUUCAGAUAAGGAAUGGAGAGGAGGGUGUGGAAUCAGCAGCCAUCCAGGAGAGAGAGGCAGAAGGAGUGGAAACCACCAGAAGGCGGCUGGGGAAGGAAGACUUGCCAAGGUGCCAGAGACAGUGAGGUGCGUUCCAUACUAUAGGUGCGGAUCAUUUUUGCACAAUGAUGCUGUUCUCCGAGGAAACAAAGCUGGGCUCCCUGCCACCUUCCCUGACCACACCCUCCCUCCUAGGACCCUCCUGGUGGGAGAGUCUGGGACCCCCAGCCCACCCAACCUGACCUAAAGCAGCUUUCUGGAUCCCAAACAAACUUCCUCCUCCCUCUGCCUCAGAGGCCCAGAGUUCUGGUUCCCAUGACAAGAGGCAGGAAGUUGAGGACCUGGUGAGAGAUGAGGGGACCCACCCAAAGUCCUGCCAGUCCAGCAACUUCCUGUCCCGAGGCUCCCCUCGACCAGAGCCCUCCCUCUAGACCUGUGGUUCUCACCAGGGGACAAUUUGUCAGUCUUGAGAUGGUUUUGGUUGUAGUGUUGAAGGGCAGGGGCUACUGGCUUCUCAUGGGUAGAAGGCUGGGAUGCUGCUAAACAUGCUGAGGUGCUCAGGACAGGCCCCCACAACAAAGAACCAUCCAGCCCAAAUGUCUAUAGAGCUGAGAAUGAGAAACGCGACUUUACACAGGGGUGUCGGGGUGCCCCUGCCCACAGAAGCCAGGAGGAGGCGAGAUGCUCCGGCAGGGCUCCCAGGAAGGGCUCCAAUGAUAAGAGGAAUCCUGAUAAUAGCCAUAGUCAGAGUCCAUGGGCCCAUGGCACUGAUGAGGCCCAGAGGGGCAGUGACCAGCCCAAGGUCCCCCAAGGGGCAGGGCAUGGCCAAGCCUGGGGCCCACCUUUCCGGCCUCCUAGGUCCAGCCUGUUGUGUGCCCUCCGGGACAGAGUCCCAGGAGACCUCUGAGUCCUCUCUGAUGGGCAGCACCUGCCUGAGUUUGAGGGACUCCCUCCUGCCCGCUCCCAGCAUCCCCCACUCCAGCGGCUAGGGGAAUUUUUCUUCUUUGGAACUUACACUGUGUCCAGACGUUUCAGACACCGUGGGCCACUGGGGCCCAAGUGAGCGUCUGUCAGGAACAGCCCUGAGCCCACCCUCUCCUGGCCUCACUCAGGGUGUUUUGGCAACUUAUUCAAAACACAAAACACGAAAGCCGGUCUGUCUCCAGGACACUGUUUCUGCCCCACUGCGGCUCACUUAUGUUUGUUUAUAGACCAAAUGGGCCUGCGUUUGCUGUUGGUUUAACCCUGCCCCCACUCCCAACUCCUCCCACCCCCACCCUCGGGCCCAUGCUCUGUCGACACUUGGACCCCCGAGAUCCCUCUGCCCAGCCUCCUGAGCCCGGUGUACAGCCCAUAGCCCACACAGUGCCCAGCUGGAGUUUGGCAGCAUCUGCUGGAGGUAAGGACCGGUCCUCCAAGGGUAACAUUCCCUCCCAUCAGUUCCUGUUGGGGUUGGAGCACAGGCCUGAGGGAGCCUAACCGUCAGCCUUGGAAUCCAGCUGUUCCUCCUCCUGCCCUGUGACCCCAGGCAAGUUCCUUCUCCUCUCAGUGCCUGCCUUCCUGUCGGUAACAUGGGGAGUGAAGGGUGGGGAGGGUAGGAGCAGGGUUGUAGUGAGGACUUCUAGCUCAGAGUACUUAGAGCAGAGCCAAGUGCUCAACAGCAACGAGUAGCUCCUAUUAUUACUAUUAUUAUUGCUGUUAGUCUUAGUGCUCCUUUGUGAAGCCUGAGCACUAGAGUCCUGAUCUUCGGCCCCCCAGGGGGUCUGAGCAGGGAUGAAGACCACCUCCCCUCCUGGCCGGAUCCAAAGCCAGCCUCCCCCAGUCAACCCCCGGGGUGGGUCCCAUGCUGAUUGGACCAGAUAAGGUAGGGGACAGUUUUGGGGGCAGAGGCUGUCCUAUUCCUUCUCCCACCAUGGGCCCCACUCUGGGGAAGAAUCAUAUUGCUCUUUGCUGUAAACAGACAGUUCUUGAAACGGGGGGCGGGGUGUGACAAAGCCUGGCCCUGUGUGUGGUCCACAGAGAGAUGGCGGGCCUCGCUGCCCAAUGCCAGGAACUGUUUGUGCUCUGCAGGCCAGCCUCUCUCCCCGCCCAGCCCCACCUUCCCACGGCCACAUCCACAGCCCCCAGGAGGUGUGCGAGACACCUCCAGGCAGAGGGUGGGGGCCCCUCGGGUCCUGAGGCUGAGGAGGCUGGCCUUCCGCUUCAGGCUGCCAUGUUCUCCAUUUUUUUCUUCAUUUGUCCCUAUGUAUCUGAAACGCACACAUUUCACUGCAAGUUCAGUCUCCUGCCACAGUCCUCAUGGAAAUACAAGAAUUUCUAGACAACAAGAUUUCUAGAUACAAGAUUUCUACCUGGAUACCAUAACUUUGUUCCAUCGCUUCCUGGGACACGUUACUGGGCCCCUUCCAUCAACUUUACCGAGGGGUGCUGUACCUGAUUUCUCUUUCCCAGUUCCUGGCUUCUUCUCCAUCCCCCUCCUGCCCCACCCCAGCCCCCAGCCCAGUGGUCCCAUGGCCUCUCCUUUAUUCCUCACCUCUGCCCUGUGGUCCUGUUUUCUCCCCCGAAGCUGGCCCUGCAGGAGACUUCCUGUUCCCAGGGUCUGGCACAGGCUGACCGUCGCCAGGGGCAGGGGGAGGCCCAGUCUAUGGACCAUUCCUGGGACCUUGACAUCACAACAAGCAAUCUGUGGGCCCUGGUUUUUAAAUGAUCUGUAAUUAAUGCUGUUUUUGUUAUUUAGCACUUUCUCAUCAAAGGGCUCAUUUAGGCCUUGCAAAACCUGACAGAUAAGGCCAAAUUUAAGGCUUCUCUUGGGAGUGGCUCCACCUGGGAGGAGUGCAAAGCUCCAGACUCCUCUGUCCACCUUGGGCUCCUGUGUCAAGUGUGAACUAAUUGCUAUGAAGGAUGGGCAACAGGAAGGGGAGAAGUUCCAUCUUCCGUUUCAGACCUGAGAGGCCUGAAGGCGUUGCCCAUGGCUGUCUCAAAGGUAAGGCUGGCAGCUCCUCCAAAUGGGACAUCCCCAAGCAAGGCCCUGUCUCCCCAUCUCUCCAGACUCCUUACACUGCUCACUCCAGAGAAUUAUACGGGAGCCCCUCAGAGGCUGCUUUUUCUAACUGACUGACUAGCAGAGCAACGAAGGACUCAUUGCCUCCUGUCUCUUUCUCUCAGAUGAGUUCCUUUAUUCGGUUCUGAGGAUGGCCUGACCAUGGGGCCCUGGGGCCCACUGGCUGGAGGAGAGUCAAUAAUGUACCGACAGCACAGCCACAGAUCUGGCCAGACACCCCCUCUCUGAAGAGGCAACUCCCCUGUGCCUGGAGGCGAGCGUGGGUGUGGGAGGCGAGGGCUCAUGCAAUGGCAGGUGCUGAGCCUGCAGCUGAGGACGAGGGCAGAGGGGACUCCGCCCUGUCUCCUCUCCUGAUCUGGUUGGCAGCCGCCAGAAUUUUCGUCUCUGCUUGACCCCAGCCCUUCUUUCUUCCCUCCCCUCUGUGAGUCCUGGAGCUUGGAGAGCCCAGGGCUGGAAGGAGGCAUUGGUACAGGACCGUCUCCUUCCCAACCUGCUGUCUCGGGCUGUUCCCUCUGAUCUCAUCCUCCUUCUGUCCAGCUCAGUACCUCUGAAGCUGGCCGUCCUCCAAGUCUAACCUCAGAUCUCGCCUCCUCCAGGAAGACUUCCCUGAAUCUUGGCGUGGUGCUACCUCCCUUCCCAGAAUUCCUGGGGCAAAUAAAGUUUGUACCAGAAAGCUGCCACAUGCCACGUCCUCCGGUUGUGUGUGGACAUCAUUGAGACCGAUCACAAAAGCUCUGGCUCUCUCUCCUUCUGGACACUUGGAAGAGGUGUACAUCCCCGCCCACCUGAAUUCAGGCGGGGCCACGUGACUGGCCAUGUGAGUGGAAAUGGCAGGAUCUGAGGCCCCGCAGCGGCGUGAGUCACAGGUGAUGAGUCACCGCAUUGUUUGUGCUGAUGGCCCGGGCAGGAAGCAGUCAGGCUGCAGGAGAAGUUGACUUUUCUCGUCUCGCUCCGGGGUUGGUGAAAAGAGCCAGGUUUAACCUUG